rnacentral:rRNA from 1 species
UACAGAGGGGCGAGCGUUUGUUCGGAAUUACUGGGCGUAAAGGGCGCGUAGGCGGCCAACUAAGUCAGACGUGAAAUCCCUCGGCUCAACCGGGGAACUGCGUCUGAUAACUGGAUGGCUUGAAUUCGGGAGGAGGGAUGCGGAAUUCCAGGUGUAGCGGUGAAAUGCGUAGAUAUCUGGAGGAACACCGGUGGCGAAGGCGGCAAUCCGUGGACCGAGGAUUGACGCUGAUGCGCGAAAGCCAGGGGAGCAAACGGGGAU